GUAAUUCCAAAAUGCCUUCAAAAUAUCUUUGUUUUAUCUCUUUAAUUGCUUUUUGGAAAAGUUUUUAUGUUGGUCAACAGAAAGGAAACCCAUUGUACACCGUUUGGGCUAACUUUUCAUAAUGUGGGACAUCAGUACUGAAUUUUGAAAACGGAAUUUUAUGCUUUUAGUUGUUUUUAGCAACCCAAAAUAUUCUGACAAUAUAAUUAUUAUGAUACUGAGAAGACAAAUCGUCAAAGAUGUGUUGUCAGAUAAAGGUGGAGGUGUUGCUGUCCUUGUUCCCUUUCUGUAGCAGAACUUCAGAACAACCAGUCCGGAGACAUUUAACAUAACACAAUUUUUGGAGUGUAUUUGACAGUUUUUAUUCCCGACUGUGAUACAACAACAACAUUUCAAUGGAAGCAAGUAGAGGAAUCUACAAACCCAUUAGGGUGUUGUUCAAUACACCCAUUUACAACAUGGCUGUGAAGAUCUGCUGGCAUCUUCCAGGCUACAGGGCUCAGAUUCCAACGAUGAUGGAGUUCCUUAGACUUCAGCAGGGGAAUCAAAUCCCAUCACACAUCACUAUUGAAAAUCUGAGAGAUCUCUUGGUGGAGAAGAGCAAAGAGACGCUCAGAGAGCAGCUUUGGGAGUUUGAACUUGAGGAUUUUGACUAAAAAGAAGCCAAAACUCUACUGAAACUGGGUAGUAAGCAUUAUUAAUAAAAUGAGGGACAUAGAGUUUCAAGCCUGGAUGCUCCUUAAAUUUCCAGAGGCCAUACCUCCUAAAUUUCA